rnacentral:tRNA from 1 species
GGGCUUUUCGCUCAAUUUGUAGGUAGCGCGGACGGUUUCCGGGGCCGUGUGUCGCAGGUUCGAAUCCUGCCGGGCCCGCCC